GGAAUUAAGCAAGUCCUGCUUGCCUUUUUCCCACAAGCCUGUGCUAACUGAAUGCUAAUUUUUCGAUAAACCCUACUGGGUCUAGGGGAAAUCUUUAUGAAAUGACUGUCUGACAAGAUGAUCUUAUAAGGUCUCCUAAUGUGCGUAGGAAGAGCAUUGGGUUUAGCAGUCAUUGUCUGCACUGUCAAACUUUGAAGUAGGGAAGGUAAACUUGAGACACCCUUCAAAAUGAGUCACACUAAUUGAAUAACAGUGGCUUAACACUCUUUUUGUCUCUCUCCCUUUCUCUUUUAUUAAUGGCAGACAGAUCAUAUCUGAAAGAAGCACACUCAUCCAGGUUUAACCGUGGCCCGUCAUUCUGCUGAAGGUGACAAACCACAUAGGAAUCCUGAUGCCUUUCCAGUGUGAACCUGUAGUUUUUAAUUCCUAAAGAAAUCAGGACACGAUGACUGGAUUUUAUCUCAGAUGAUCUGUAUUGAAACAUCACCAAGCGUGUUAACUGCCAUGCUGUGGACCCGACAGCUGAUCCUAUCAAAUUACAACGGGAUGCUGAGUCAGUUUCUGAGUGUAUCCAAGCUGUCCUGGUGUCACGGAGGGGAGGAGAGGAAGAGAAGAUGGGUGAAUAAAGAGGAGACGCUAAUUCACCUCCUGCCAUUUAUUGAUCACGGCCGAGUGGAGCGUGGAUUCAUUACGGCUCAUUCAUUCUCCACUCAGACACAUCUAGUGAACGAAUGAGUGAGCCGCAGCCCGGAUGUGUGAGCAGCUUGAUGAAGCGCUCAUCAUUUCACAGGCUCUUGUCCAUGCUGUGUGUGCAUGUCCUAAUCAACCCUCUGUGCACAUACUGCGUAGGAAGCAAGUGGCAGUUUGUGAAUGGAGAUUUCUAGAGCAUGAAGAUAAUUGAAUCCAUUACUCAGAGGCCUGUGGACCUACACCUCUUCUGUCUUCACGUCGUCAGACGGACUUGAACACAAAUACCUGGACUAUGAUGGAUAACAGCUGGACGAGAUGGAUGCUGAUAGCUGGGAGUUAGCUACAUCACUAGCAGUAAACAUCACAGUGUUUAUGUAACAUUUGCAUUUGGGUUGCAAUUAGGUUACAGUUAGAGUAGUAACUACUUCUAAAAAC
ensembl:lncRNA